GCAAACUUGGUCAUUUAGAGGAAGUAAAAGUCGUAACAAGGUUUCCGUAGGUGAACCUGCGGAAGGAUCAUUAUUGAAUUAAUUUGGUUUGGGUUGUUGCUGGCUCUUGAAGCAUGUGCACACUCACUCCAUCUUUUCUUUAAACCACCUGUGAACCUUUUGUAGACCCGAAGCCGUCUUCAAACUAGUUGUUUCCAGACUGUUUGGCCUGAGAUUUGCUGCCUGUUAAGCCAGCUUUUCUUGGUUUGGGUUUAUGUUUUUUAUAAAACACCGAACAUGUAUUAGAAUGCUGGUUAAUAAAUCAAAUACAACUUUCAACAACGGAUCUCUUGGCUCUCGCAUCGAUGAAGAACGCAGC
rnacentral:misc_RNA from 1 species